UCUGUAGCCGAUGGCUGACCAGUACUUGGAAGAUGUAAGUGUAUUAUAGUAAUACAGUAACGAUUAACUCGUAUAAAAUUCUAAAUAGGAUAAUGAUAAUGACAAUUUCCUAUUUAUAAGUCUUGACCAAAUUACGUGCCAGCAGUCGCGGUAAUACGUAGAAGACUAGUGUUAGUCAUCUUUAUUAGGUUUAAAGGGUACCUAGACGGUAAAUUAAACUCUAAAUGAGUACUUUUUUACUAGAGUUUUAUGUGAGAAGGAAGAAUUUCUGGAGUAGUGAUGAAAUACCUUGAUACCAAAAGGACUGGUAACGGCGAAAGCAUCCUUCUAUGUAAAAACUGACGUUGAGGGACGAAGGCUUGGGUAGCUAUAAUCGAGGAUAUAGCCUAGUGGUCCGCCCAGAAAAUGAUGAGGGUCGUAUACUACAUAAUAUUUAUUCUAUUAUUAAGAAAAGGGGGAUUCUUCCCCCAUAAAAAGAAAAGGGCAACUUAAAAGGCGGGGUCCUUCCCCCGGGGCAAGAACCCACGAGAGAGAGGGGGUAAAUAUCCCACGGCCGGGGAAGA
rnacentral:rRNA from 1 species